AAUCUUCGACAAUGGGCGAAAGCCUGACCGAGCGACGCAGCAAGCGGGAUGAAGGCCCUUGGGUUGUAAACCGCUGUCAGGGGGGAUGAAAGGUUCGGCUUGACAGAGCCCCAGAGGAAGCGCGGGGUAAGUUUGUGCCAGCAGCCGCGGUAAUACGAACUGGGCAAACGUUAUUUGGAAUCACUGGGCUUACAGGGUGCGUAGGCGGUCCACCAGGUCAGAUGUGAAAUCCCACAGCUCAACUGUGGAACUGCAUUUGAAACCGGCGGACUUGAGUAAACUAGAGGUAGAUGGAACUUCAGGUGGAGCGGUGAAAUGUGUUGAGAUCUGAAGGAACACCAGAGGCGAAAGCGAUCUACUGGAGUUUGUCUGACGCUGAGGCACGAAAGCCAGGGGAGCGAACGGGAUUAGAUACCCCGGUAGUCCUGGCCGUA
rnacentral:rRNA from 1 species